UACUAAUUCCCUUUAUGCACAAGUUUCUGAAAUUAAAUACUGUGAGUCUGAUUAAUCAACGUAACUUUCUCUACUUUUUCCCAUUUUAAAGUUAAAAUACAAAAUGCAUUACACUGUUGCGGUGUACUUUCCCCAUUUGGAUACUUUCCUUGUUCAUAGCAUCAGAGUAAAACACAUAGUUUAAAAUCAAAAUAACAAUAACGUCAUUUAAUUUACAACUGGUUAUUAUAAUUAUUAUUAUAAAAUGAUGUUGUCUUUUUUAAAAAGAUUUAUUAAGCAAAUAGUUGUUGUGCUGAAUACAUUUGUAUAGGAGCAUAUUUUGGUAUAUUUUUUUGAUAAUAGGAAUAUGAUAUAAAAGAAAAUGACACUGAGGUAUUACUUUUGGAUCAAUCCUCGUACAUAUUCAAAUUUUAUUGACAUUUUUAUGAAAAAAUUUUGUGGGCAUUUUCAACUACUUAAAUGCUGAUUUUAUGAACCCGAGGAUCGGACUGCAAUAUGAAUAUUUCUGAAAUAUGUGAUUACAUUUUUCUUAUUCUUAAUUCUCUACCCUUUUGAAAGAUGACACUACCCUUCAUUUUAUCGAACUUGAAUUCCUUACACUUAAGGGUCCUCCAGACACGUGUAUCUUCCAACUGACUAUAUAAGAUUUUUUAUUUAUUAUGCUUAGAAUUUUCACAUAUGCAUACAUCAAAAGCAGUAGUACAAGUACAGUUCUUAGAUUAUUAAAGAUAACAUAUUCAAAAAGUGUACUUUAACCUUAACACAUAAAAAACAACGCUAUAUCACCAGGAAGUUAACGAUGGAUGAUUACUCGCUGAUUUAGAUUAAAACAACAGUUGUAAAAGAUUCUUUUGUGAAAUUUGAAAUCAAGAGCGAAGAAGAACCAACAUCAAAACUUUGAGGGAAGUCGCGAUGAAAAUUGAAGAACAAAAAAAAAAUAAAAAUAAAAACAAAGAAGCAAAUAAAAGGUGGAAAGUGACUAUACAGAUAUAUCUCUUUUGUCAAUAAUGUGCACGCAUUUUCAUAGAGACUUUGAACAUUUCAAGGGUCAAAAUGCUUAUUUUCAAAGAUGAUUCAUAGAUAUAUACAGGAAGGAUAUAACAAUAACAAAACUUGAAUGCUUUGACCUAGAAGUCCUAAAAGAGGAAAUGAGACUCAUCCAGAAAUCCAUUGUGGAUAUAUGCUAUGCGGAAAAAAUUCUUAUUAAACGCAAAAUGGUCAUCUUUACCUCUGUAACCAGUACAUCAAAUUAACUUGGAUGAAUAAUGAAAGGAUCUGAGAAUGUUGCCCUACAAUAUGGCAGCUAAUGAGAAUAAAUCCUAGGCAAAAUAUAUCAUGGGAAAAGGGUCUAUAAACAGAUUCUGAAGAUGAGACAUUCAGUUGAGCUGCACUUUUUUCAUACAAAACACAGAGAGUUUUCACAGAGAGUCUGUCCAUGAUAUGGGUAAGGGUAGAACGAACAAAAUCAAGAAGAAGCAGCAAUACUAACAGGCAUACAGUAAUGUAUUAAGAUAUGAGACAUUCACUUUGUUCCUUUGAGCUUCUUUGUCUUCAUACAAACCAGAGAUGGUUUUCCCAUGCGGAGUCUGUCCAUGAAGAAUAGAAUUUACUACGAAAGGGCGAAGAAAAUUGAAUGUACAGAAGUUAGAGGAAAACAAUACUGUCAGACAUAUUAUGAGACAUUCACUUUGUUCCUUUGAGCUUCUUUGUCUUCAUACAAACCAGAGAUGGUUUUCCCAUCCAGAGUCUGUCCAUGAAGAAUAGAAUUUACUACGAAAGGGCGAAGAAAAUUGAAUGUACAGAAGUUAGAGGAAAACAAUACUGUCAGACAUAUUUGAAACUCAAAGCAAAGAAUACCAGCAUCAAGUGUGAUGGAAAACUUUGCAAUAAAGGAAAUUUCCAUAUAAAAUGCUGAAAAGUAAUAACAUCCAUUUAUU